CGUAAAUUGACGUUGUUUUGAUGUAAUGUGUGUUGCACGUCAGUGUUUUAAAAUAUUGGUUGCAUAGAUACUUGCCACGCCUAAUCCUGAAUAAAUGACAAACCAACAAAUUUCGAUUGGCUAACGGGGGAUCUUGAAUGGAUCUAUUGGCUGUUUCGUUCCUUCUGCGAGAGUUGGAAGUGAAUAUUUGUCGGAAUUUAUUUACUGAUCCUUCUUGAAUGAAGACUGCAGCAGUUUUGGGUUUUUAUUGCGGCGCUCCGCCUCCUUUACAUCUUCAUAAAAUCUGAUCACUGACAUGCACCGUGCGUUGUGUCCAUAGCUGAACUUGCAUUUGCUGUACUUCACUAGUCAGCCUUCGAGUGACAUGAUGAACCUGCUGCACGGUCUGCUCGUCUCCGAAGCCGAGGAGAUGCGCCUCCUCGACCUGAUGUCCUACGUGAUGCUCCUCAUGGCGGCAGUAACUUUUUUCACUCUGCUUGUCGAGGACUUGCCCUACGGCAGGUACGCCAGCAGAAAGUACGGCUUUCCCGUGGGCGCAAAGUUGGCGUGGUUUGUUCAGGAGAUGCCUGCGCUCCUGAUCCCUCUCUGCUUGUUGCUCGGCACGUCCGGUUCCAAGCUGGGCCAUCUACCCAACCGUUUGCUACUUGUCAUGUACUUCUGCCACUACAUACAAAGGUGUCUCAUUUACCCGUUUUUAAUCCGAGGGGGGAAAGGGACCCCCUUCGUAUCCUUCCUACUCGCCUUUGUUUUCUGCAUGUACAACGGGUAUCUCCAAGUUAGAUACCUGAGCCACUAUGCAGAUUACCCAGCAGGCUGGGUUACACAUCCCGCCUUUGUCUCAGGAUCCAUACUGUGGCUGGUGGGAUUUCUGAUAAACCUACAUUCGGAUCACAUCCUCAGGAAUCUCCGGAAACCCGGGGAGACGGGCUACAAGAUCCCAACCGGAGGCCUCUUUGAGUAUGUGUCGGGGGCCAACUUCCUGGGUGAGAUUGUGGAGUGGGCGGGGUUUGCCUGCGCUGGCUGCUCCAUUCACAGCGCGUCGUUUGCCGUCUUCACCCUUGUGGUGCUGUCCAGCCGGGCCACGGCCCAUCACAGAUGGUACUUGGAAAAAUUUGAAGAUUACCCGAAAGGCAGAAAAGCUUUGGUGCCUUUCCUGUACUGAUGUAUCAAGUAAGAUAUGGGUGAAUAAAUGUGAUUAUAAUGUUAGCAAUAUUUAAAAUACAGUAGAAACCGCUUUUAUGGAUCAAAAACCUUGGGUCAGAAUCCUUCUUGUGCAAGUACUGUUCAAUCACCUAUAAUAAUCAAGUAGUCCGCUUACAGUGUUCAUUCUGGGUAUUUUUAUACAUAUGGAAAAAAAAAAAUUACGGUAAUUCUUUACUUGCCUACUUUGCCUUGUAACCCUCCUGCUUCUGACUACAGCUACCUGAGGCUAAUGAUUCAUGUGCAGAAAACAUGACAGGAAAAAAAAAGUAAUUUUGUCUAAAUUAUGAAUAUCUAUUCACCAAAGUUUAUCAUAAACUGUCAAAGACGAGGCAAAGAGAUGCACUAGUGAAGCUACAAUAAGCUGUAUUUUAUGCAGGCCUACAGAACUGUACUGUACUAUAGCGCAGCAAUUCUCAAACAGGGUCGCUGCAAGUUCAGAAAUUGUUCAUUGAUCGUAAUUCAGGUAAAAUGUUCAAUUAAACAUGAUAUUGUUUUGAGUGUCGCCUCACUCCUGUGAGUUCCUACUUUAUUUCCUUUAUCAUGGAUAAGUUACAAACCUGUAAUGUUUACCAACUUUGAUAAUUCAUAAUCUGUUUUUGGUCAGUUCAUAUAAUUUGGUUGCUUAACUAAAUUACAUGCCCUCUAAGCACUGGAUUGUAUAUACCCUUUUGUACAUCUGAAUACCUUUACUUAAACGAUGCAGAUUACGUGUAUGAUUUCAGUUUGUGUAUCACAUGCUGGUGGCAUUAAUUUUCAAAAUACAAGAAAUAAAGGUUUCUCUGGGAA